rnacentral:hammerhead_ribozyme from 1 species
AUUCAAUUGACUCAUCCUAAAUAGGACGAAACGCGCGUCCUGGAU